AGGGGGGGCUAGGAUGAAAAAUUUUGUCCUGCAUUUUUUUUUUUAGCUGUAAUCUCUGUCCUGCCUUUUUAUUUUUCACUCUGUUUGUUCCUGCUUUUUUUUUUUUUUUUUUUUUUUUUAGUUUAUCCCGACUUUUUUUACCUAAAUUGUCGUCCUGACUUUUUUUCUUUGGCAAUUGUCUCAUCCUGCCUUUUUUUUACUCAAAACUCCUGUCCUGCCUAUUUUUUUUCAAAUUUCAUCCUAGCCCC
rnacentral:lncRNA from 1 species